rnacentral:rRNA from 1 species
GAUUAACGCUGGCGGCGUGCAUAACACAUGCAAGUCGAACGAAGUGGCGGAAGGGUGAGUAACGCGUGAGUAACCUGCCUUAGAGAAGGGGAUAGCCUUUGGAAACGCAGAAUAAUACCCUAUGCUCUAAGAUGGACUUGCGUCUGAUUAGUUAUUUGGUGGGGUAACGGCCCACCGAGACAGCUAUCAGUAGCCGGCUUGGGAGCGUGUACGGCCCCAUUGGGACUGGGACAAGGCCCAGACGCUACGGGAGGCAGCAGUGGGGAAUUUUGCACAAUGGGGGAAACCCGGAUGCAGCGACGCCGCGUGAUUUAGAAGGCCUUCGGGUUGUAAAAAUCUUUUCUAUGGGAAGCAGUACCAUAGGAAUAAGGACCGGCUAAUUACGUGCCAGCAGCCGCGGUAAUUC